GACGUUGGGAGGUGCUAAGUUCAAAUCCCACUACUCCUAUUUUUUUCAGUUUUUUUCUUCCUUUCGUUUCUUUUUUCUUCCUUUCGUUUUAUGUUUCUCUUUCUUAUUUAUACUUCGCUUCUUCUUUUUUUAUCUUUUGAUUCUUUUCUUUUCAUUAUCCCUUGUUUCUAUAUGGAACACUAAUAUGUACUUUUUUGUUCCUUUUUCUUCGUUUGCUUCAUUUUUUUGUUUCCCUUGAAAAUAUUAGAGUGACUAGUUAGGGUUAGUUGC
rnacentral:lncRNA from 1 species